UGCCAGCCGCCGCGGUAAGACGUAGGGACCAAGCGUUGUCCGGAAUUAUUGGGCGUAAAGAGCUCGUAGGCGGUUGCGUAAGUCGGAUGUGAAAACUCAGGGCUCAACCCUGAGACGCCAUCCGAUACUGCGCUGACUUGAAUCCAGUAGGGGAGUGUGGAAUUCCUGGUGUAGCGGUGAAAUGCACAGAUAUUGGGAAGAACACCAGUGGCGAAGGCGGCUAACUGGCUCGGUACUGACGCUGAGAUGCGAAAGCGUGGGGAGCAAACAGGAUUAGAUA
rnacentral:rRNA from 1 species